UUGACUUAUAUGACGUCCAUAAGCAUUUGGAUUGCCAUGCUCUAAAAUCAGUGACCCCACAAAUUAGAAUUAAAGUUCGAAAAAGAAAUCACACAUUGAUACUGUACUGCAGAUAAUUGCAGCUUUUUGUAAAUUAAUAGUUUUUCCCCACUUGCUUUGAUUGUUAAAGAAAUCCCCCUCCGUCACGAGAGCGGCAGAUGCCAGCCUGUUCAAACAAGAAACUUUUACGUAGCCUACUCUACACCCAUCAAUUACUAUAAAUAAUUGCUAUGUAAGCCAGUUAUCUCACACCAAGGAAGAUGGACUCCAGAGGAAAGAUGAAGUUCAGUAGCAAGUCCUUGGUGGUUUUGAUUGCAGCCAGCAUUUUUGCUGUUGUAAUGCCAUCUGAUGCCACAUACCACGCUAGCAAUCCUCCUCCAAAGGCGUACUAUUACAAGUCUCCUCCUCCACCGGUCCAUCUGUCAUCUCCUCUAAAGGCGUACUACUACAAGUCUCCUCCUCCACCGGACCACCUGUCAUCUCCUCCAAAUGCAUACUACUACAAGUCUCUUCCUCAACUGGCCCACCUGCCAUCUACUCCAAAGACAUACUACUACAAGUCUCCUCCUCCACCGGUCCACCUGCCAUCUCUUUCAAAAGCGUACUACUACAAGUCUCCUCCUCCAUCGGUCCACCUGCCAUCUCCUUCAAAGAUGUACUACUACAAGUCUCCUCCUCCACUGGUCCAGCUAUCAUCUCCUCUAAAGACAUACUACUACAAAUCUCCUCCUCCACCAGUCCACCUGAGAUCUCCUCCAAAAACAUACUACUACAAAUCUCCUCCUCCACCGGUCCACCUACCAUCCCCUCCAAAGGUGGAAAUGAAGCCCCCUCACCCUCCUGUUGUAACUCCUUCCCUACCUAUAGCAAUGCCUGUGUACCCAUCUCCACAUUCUAAAUCCCCAGUCUACCAUCACUUACUCAUCACUACUCUUACAAGUCCCCCCCUCCUCCAUACCAAUUGAUAUGUGAAACAGCUGAUAAGGAUGCCAACUUGCUUUUUGGAAGUUGAAGUUGUAAAGAGGUACUAGCUAUAAUACAAUAAUGGAUUCAGCUUUGGUCUGUUUAAGACAAACGCUUUCAGCACAUUGUGAUCGCAUUGAUCUGCAUAUGGACCUCGAUUGCUAUUCUACAUUCGAUGCAAUAAAGCAUCCUAGUUUUUUGUUUUUUUCAAUAAAGUUUCUCGCUCUUGAUUUUAUUCUCA